CAGUUCUCAACAGUGAUCACAUAAGGCCUCAUCAUGGUUUCUAACAUGAAGUACAGUAAAUUCAAUGAAAACAUAGGGAACAUGUAUUAAACAGUAGGCCAAUUGAUUCCACAGUCUCACUGAACGGACCAAAUCACAAUCCCAAAUGGUUCACACCCACACGCCCAUCACCUAACAUGUGCGUCACCUCCAAAAUAGUCAUACGAAACAAUGUCCGGGGUUUCAUACCCUCAAGACCAGAUUUAUAACCGUUACUUACCUCAAUCCUAGAAAAAUCCUACUCUGAAAUGCCUUUGCCUCUCAAAUCGGCCUCCGAAUGUCCCGAAUCUAGUCACAAUUAAUUUGUUUUAGUCAAUAUAAUAUAUAGGAAUUAAUUCCGUAUGAAAUUAUUAAUUUUCUAACAUAAUUCAAAAUUUAACUCAAAAAUUGCCCGUGGGGCCCACAUCUCGGAAUCCGACAAAACUCAUAAAAUUCGACAACUCAUUCAAUUACGAGUCCAACCAUACCAAUUUUACCAAAUUCCAAUAACAAAUCGACCUCCAAAUCUUAAAUUUAAGGUAUAGAAAAUCUCUACCAAUUUCAACCCAAUUUCAAAUAUAGGAGCAUAUCUCGAGGUUCUACAUCUCAAAUCAAAAAUCUAUAGGUGAAAAUUUUCUUUUAAAAAUCAAAAUUCAACUCGUUUUUCAAUUAGAAAUCUCAUAUUUGAAUACCCAUGUCAAAAGAAUAAUAACUAUGUCAUAAAAUAGUUUAAUACCUUGAAUGAAAAUUAACUACAAUCUUAGUUUGUGAUUGUUGGGCAUACUGUUGCAUCGUCUGAAAACCUUGAACUGGAGGACAUUUAAUUUGCCUUGAAUCUAAAGAGAACAAGGUUGAAAAGCUUCGUAAUAGAUUCAAUGGCCUUUGGAAUACCACUGUCAAAAGCUCCCUUUAACUUUUCCCAUCAUUAUCAUAUUCUC
rnacentral:lncRNA from 1 species